rnacentral:ncRNA from 1 species
AAGGCAAACUAUUCGAAAGAAUAGGACGCAAAGCUUCCGGCCUAAAAAGGUAUUAUUUGUAUCUUAAAUAAUAACCCUCAUGGUAGCGGGGUUGCCGAU